UCUAUAUUCUUUCGCUAAUUCGUUAUUUCCAUCUCUCUCCUUGCCUUCUCUGUUUUCAUGCCUCUCGUCACUCUCUUCUUACUUUCUCUAUCUAUCAGGUAGAUUUUUGAGAAAUUCGACAUUGAUCUGAAAACCUAAUCUCCGAUUCUUCGCUCAUCAGGUUAUGGAAAGUGACUAGUAUGGCCCAAAUAGGAUAGAAAAUAUGGUAUGCGUACCAUUAAUUUGAAUGUAAAUUUGGUCUAAUGCACCAAAGUUUUUAUUUUAAAUAUGGCAUGCGUACCAUCAAAUAGUUGUAAUUAGUUUUAAUUAUAGCAUAUCCUAUUUGAAGAAAAUGGCGCCUCCCAUGGCCGGUGAAAUUCAAGACGGAAUUUCCUAACCAUUUUCUAAGACGGAGUUUGAAGUUGAAGCUUCAAGAUGAAGUCGGACCAUAUUAGAUCACAUUUAAAUCUUAUGCAUGAUUUAAGUUAUUUAUUGCUAUAAAUAUGUCUUGAGUAUGCAUUAGAUUAUGGCUUGAUUAUGUUGCAUGAUGAAGGAUUUUAGUUCACUUAAAAUCUAACCAACAUAGUAAGAGCCUUAAGUUCGAAACUUUAAAAAUUGAGUUAAAAGGUGUCAUGCCAAAAUAACACUUACUUGGAUAACCUUUACAUCGAUCUAAGUAAUAGUUCUCCGCCAUAGCGAGGUGUUACUUGUUGAUCCUAAAGGGGUAAGGUGAACAAAUAAUUCUGAGUACAUGUUAAUUUUGGUGAAGCUCAACGAUAUAAGUAAGGAGUCCUUUUAUGUCAUGGCAAAUGAGAUAGGUUUACCUAAUAAUUUCUUAGACGUACCUAUCAACCAAGAUUAGUUUCUAGACUAUUAGCAAAGGUUUUGCGUACCUAAAAUAUUUUAGAAUUGAGUUUAAAUACAAAAUGUAAUUAUUCAAUGAUUUAAGGAACUUGGAUUCAUUUUAUUCACACCUGUCGGAACAAUAAAUUCGAAUAAAAUGCGAAUGACUUGUUUAAAUUG